AUUGAACGCUGGCGGCAGGCCUAACACAUGCAAGUCGAACGAGUGGCGGACGGGUGAGUAAUGUCUGGGAAACUGCCUGAUGGCGGGGGAUAACUACUGGAAACGGUAGCUAAUCCCGCAUACCAUCAGAUGUGCCCAGAUGGGAUUAGCUUGUUGGUGGGGUAACGGCUCACCAAGGCAACGAUCCCUAGCUGGUCUGAGAGGAUGACCAGCCACACUGGAACUGAGACACGGUCCAGACUCCUACGGGAGGCAGCAGUGGGGAAGUUUGGACAAUGGGCGCAAGCCUGAGGCAGCCAUGCAGCGUGUAUGAAGAAGGCCUUCGGGUUGUAAAGUACUUUCAGCGGGGAGGCGUUACCUGCAGAAGAAGCACCGGCUAACUACGUGCCAGCAGCCGCGGUAAUUC
rnacentral:rRNA from 1 species